GAGCGCCCCGCAAGGGGAGCGGCAGACGGGAGAGUAACACGUGGGAACGUACCCUUCAGUUCGGAACAACCCCAGGGAAACUUGGGCUAAUACCGGAUACGUCCGUAAGGAGAAAGAUUUAUCGCUGAAGGAUCGGCCCGCGUCUGAUUAGCUUGUUGGUGAGGUAACGGCUCACCAAGGCGACGAUCAGUAGCUGGUCUGAGAGGAUGAUCAGCCUCACUGGGACUGAGACACGGCCCAGACUCCUACGGGAGGCAGCAGUGGGGAAUAUUGGACAAUGGGCGCAAGCCUGAUCCAGCAAUGCCGCGUGAGUGAUGAAGGCCCUAGGGUUGUAAAGCUCUUUUGUGCGGGAAGAUAAUGACGGUACCGCAAGAAUAAGCCCCGGCUAACUUCGUG
rnacentral:rRNA from 1 species